AUAUACACAAUGAUGAGAAGAGUAAAGUAUCCAUUUCUUUUUUUAGAGAGCCUGAUAAGGUGAAAGCAGGCAAAGAAAUGCUACUCGAAGAUGGUCUCGGAGUGGCUAAUUUGAUUGUAGCAGUUGCUGCUAUUUUAAAAUUAGACGGGUCCUCCCGUUACAGUGGAACAGUAUAACUUUUAAGAAACUUUUAAAGCGUACUGGAUGAGGCAAAAAUAGUAAUGUUUUUGCGAAAAAAGGUGGUACCACGUGUAGAUUUGACAUCUCCGUCCUUCUU
rnacentral:ncRNA from 1 species